ACGUCGGUGGUGUAGUGGUAGCAGGUGUCCUUGGAAUGGAUGAGACGCGAGUUCGACUUCCGUCUAAGGUU